rnacentral:rRNA from 1 species
UACGAAGGGGGCUAGCGUUGUUCGGAGUUACUGGGCGUAAAGCGCGCGCAGGCGGUCCUUUAAGUCUGAUGUGAAAGCCCACGGCUCAACCGUGGAGGGUCAUUGGAAACUGGGGGACUUGAGUGCAGAAGAGGAAAGCGGAAUUCCACGUGUAGCGGUGAAACGCGUAGAGAUGUGGAGGAACACCAGUGGCGAAGGCGGCUUUCUGGUCUGUAACUGACGCUGAGGCGCGAAAGCGUGGGGAGCAAACAGG